rnacentral:rRNA from 1 species
UACGGGGGGGGCAAGCGUUGUUCGGAAUUACUGGGCGUAAAGGGCUCGUAGGCGGCCAACUAAGUCAUACGUGAAAUCCCUCGGCUUAACCGGGGAACUGCGUCUGAUACUGGAUGGCUUGAGAUUGGGAGAGGGAAGCGGAAUUCCGGGUGUAGCGGUGAAAUGCGUAGAUAUCCGGAGGAACACCGGUGGCGAAGGCGGCUUCCUGGACCGACACUGACGCUGAGGCGCGAAAGCUAGGGGAGCAAACGGG